rnacentral:rRNA from 1 species
AGGGGACUGGCUGAGCAUCGCCUAAGAGUUGACUCGUCUGCGAAGCCAGUCAAAGAACAUCUUCGACGGUCCGCCGUCCAGAAGAGAAAGGCCAUCGGUGAAGAAGUGGCUCGACUGUUGGCGGCAGGAUUUAUCCGAGAGAUAUACCACUCCGAGUGGCUCGCUAAUGUCGUCAUGGUUCCUAAGAAGGACAAGUCGCUCCGAAUGUGCAUUGAUUUCAAGCACAUCAACCGGGCCUGCCCGAAAGAUCACUUUCCUCUCCCUCGCAUAGAUCAAAUUGUUGACUCGACCGCGGGAUGCGAGAGGUUGUCUUUUUUAGAUGCUUACUCCGGGUACCACCAGAUCCGUCUGUACGGGCCCGAUGAGGUAAAAACAGCUUUCAUCACUCCAUUCGGGUGCUUCUGCUAUAUCACCAUGCCAUUCGGCCUCAAGAAUGCCGGAGCCACAUUUAUGCGAAUGAUUCAGAAGUGUCUA